GGGGAAUCUUAGACAAUGGGGGAAACCCUGAUCUAGCCAUGCCGCGUGAUCGAUGAAGGCCUUAGGGUUGUAAAGAUCUUUCAGUGGGGAAGAUAAUGACUGUACCCACAGAAGAAGCCCCGGCUAACUCCGUGCCAGCAGCCGCGGUAAUACGGAGGGGGCUAGCGUUAUCCGGAAUUACUGGGCGUAAAGCGCACGUAGGCGGAUCAGAAAGUCAGAGGUGAAAUCCCAGGGCUCAACCUUGGAACUGCCUUUGAAACCCCUGAUCUUGAGGUCGAGAGAGGUGAGUGGAAUUCCGAGUGUAGAGGUGAAAUUCGUAGAUAUUCGGAGGAACACCAGUGGCGAAGGCGGCUCACUGGCUCGAUACUGACGCUGAGGGGCGAAAGCGUGGGGAGCAAAC
rnacentral:rRNA from 1 species